UAAAUUGAGAGUUUGAUCCUGGCUCAGGACGAACGCUGGCGGCGUGCCUAACACAUGCAAGUCGAGCGAUGAAGCUCCUUCGGGAGUGGAUUAGCGGCGGACGGGUGAGUAACACGUGGGUAACCUGCCUCAUAGAGGGGAAUAGCCUCCCGAAAGGGAGAUUAAUACCGCAUAAAGUAUGAAGGUCGCAUGACUUUUGUACCAAAGGAGUAAUCCGCUAUGAGAUGGACCCGCGGCGCAUUAGCUAGUUGGUGAGGUAAGGGCUCACCAAGGCAACGAUGCGUAGCCGACCUGAGAGGGUGAUCGGCCACAUUGGAACUGAGACACGGUCCAGACUCCUACGGGAGGCAGCAGUGGGGAAUAUUGCGCAAUGGGGGAAACCCUGACGCAGCAACGCCGCGUGAAUGAAGAAGGCCUUAGGGUUGUAAAGUUCUGUCAUAUGGGAAGAUAAUGACGGUACCAUAUGAGGAAGCCACGGCUAACUACGUGCCAGCAGCCGCGGUAAUACGUAGGUGGCAAGCGUUGUCCGGAUUUACUGGGGGCGUAAAGGAUGCGUAGGCGGACAUUUAAGUCAGAUGUGAAAUACCCGGGCUCAACUUGGGUGCUGCAUUUGAAACUGGGUGUCUAGAGUGCAGGAGAGGAAAGCGGAAUUCCUAGUGUAGCGGUGAAAUGCGUAGAGAU
rnacentral:ncRNA from 1 species